rnacentral:lncRNA from 1 species
AAAGUUCUAAAAUAUCUUAUAUUUUUUUUUUUGGUUUCAAAUAUACUCCUUAUAUAAUUUUCUUAUUAGAAUAAAAGCAGAAAUAUCUAGCUCGGAUGCAAAAAUACCAAAAGAGAAUCAGAAAAGAAAAAAAAUAAAACACACAGUAUUUACAUGAUUCGACUACUGGUCAGUCUGGUCUACAUCCACGGACGAAAACGGAGCCGAGACUGAUAUUAUAAUUAUAGUGGGGUACAAAAUAUGACUCUCUCAUAAAAUCCUAGUCCCAAAAUACACACCUAAUUCUCCUCAUUAUCCGCACCGAAAUAAAUAGAAUAAAGGAUAUAUUUACAAUAAUGACUAAAUCAAAAUAUGAUUACAUAGGAAUACA